rnacentral:lncRNA from 13 species
AACACUGAUACAGGGCCAGCUUCCUCCAAUAACAACACUGAUACAGGGCCAGCUUCCUCCAAUAACAACACUGACACAGGACCAGCUUCCUCCAAUAACAACACUGAAAUAUUUUCCUCCAAUAACAACACUGAUACAGGGCCAGCUUCCUCCAAUAACAACACUGAUACAGGGCCAGCUUCUUCCAAUAACAACACUGAUACAGGGCCAGCUUCUACAUUACUUGGAUUUAACCAUCAUCACCUUGACCUCACUUUAUUUAAUCAGCUAGAGAGGAUUGUGAAUAUAUUGGAAAUGACAAUAGAACUAAUAUAAUAAUAAUAAUGAAUUCUAAUUCAAACCCGAAUAUGAGGAAACAGACAGAACGGUCCUUUUGCCUUGUGAACAGAAUAAUGUCAAUGAAAACAAGCCUUUUUCUAGUACACUGGGGAUCGGAUAAAAAAAAGAAGAAUUUGCACGUGGAACAUGAUGUAGUGCCUCUGUUUCCAUUAUGCUUUGACUCUUCAUUUCUCAUUCUGCUGUAUUGUUGUUCUCUCUUCAUUCGCCCGUCAGAGCAUCGUUGCUCUGUCCAAAAUAGCACCCCCUAUUCCCCUAUAAAGUGCAUUACUUUUGACCAGAGCCCUAUAGGAGCACUAUGGGCCCUGAUAUAAAAAAAUAAAUAAUUAUGAGUGCACUACAUAGGGAAUAGGGUGCCAUUUGGGAUUUCUCCAUCGUCAGGCAGUUUGUCCAGCUAAUCAUCAUCUGGUCCUUUUGCCCAGCCGACUAUCUGUUUGGAGAUGAAUAUGAGUGUAUGAACUUGAAUGCUAUCAUUCACUUUAAUCCAGAGACAAAGAGUUGGCAUAUGCCAUUUCUAAACAUAUUAUUACUACGAUAUAAAGAUCAUCAGAGGCCUGUACCAAUGGGUCAGAGGUCGGUACCAAUGGGUCAGAGGUCGGUACCAAUGGGUCAGAGGCCUAGGCCUGUACCAAUGGGUCAGAGGCCUGUACCAAUGGGUCAGAGGUCGGUACCAAUGGGUCAGAGGCCUANNNNNNNNNNNNNNNNNNNNNNNNNNNNNNNNNNNNNNNNNNNNNNNNNNNNNNNNNNNNNNNNNNNNNNNNNNNNNNNNNNNNNNNNNNNNNNNNNNNNAGUUAGUUAUCAGUCAGUCAGUGAGUUAGUUAUCAGUCAGUGAAUUAGUUAUCAGUCAGUCAGUGAGUUAGUUACCCAAUCAGUCAGUGAGUUAGUUAUCCAGUCAGUCAGUCAGUGAGUUAAUUACCCAGUCAGUCAGUGAGUUAGUUAUCAGUCAGUCAGUGAGUUAGUUAUCCAGUCAGUCAGUGAGUUAAUUACCCAGUCAGUCAGUGAGUUAGUUAUCAGUCAGUCAGUGAGUUAGUUAUCAGUCAGUCAGUGAGUUAGUUAUCAGUCAGUCAGUGAGUUAGUUACCCAGUCAGUCAGUGAGUUAGCUAUCCAGUCAGUCAGUGAGUUAGUUACCCAGUCAGUCAGUGAGUUAGUAAUCCAGUCAGUCAGCCCCUCAAUGAUGAGGGCGUUACACAAUAUAGCAGUAGAUUACACCCAGCUAUCAGGCAAUCAGUCAGCCAGGCAGCCAGGCAGAGAGAGUUAGCGAGAGACAGAGAAAGAGAGGGUGGAUAAAGAGAGAGAGAGGGGGGUGGAUAAAGAGAGAAUGAGAGAUAUGGAGAAAGAGGUGUGGUGGAGGUCUGUUUUAUCUUCCUGUAGAGAUUCAACUGUCCUCCUACCGGCACUAUAUUUUAUUUAAUCUUUCAUUUAGAUUAAAGUGAGAUACAUCGUUGUUCAGUGGCGCGAUCUCCUUAGAGCAUUCAGAGAUGUGAGAGCAGAAUAUAAGGGUGUAAUGAGAAUCAUGCCUGGUUGAGAGAGAGAGAGAGAGAGAGAGAGAGAGAGAAAGAUGGGGAGAGAAAUUGGGAGAGAGAGAGAGAGAGAAAUGUGAGUCAGUGAGCAUAGCCUUGCUAUUGAGAAAGGCCGCCGUAGGCAGACAUGGCUCGCAAGAGAAGACAGGCUAUAUGCCCACUGCCCACAAAAUGAGGUGGAAACUGAGCUGCAUUUCCUAACCUCCUGCCAAAUGUAUGACCAUAUUAGAGAGACAUAUUUUUUCUCUCAGAUUACACAGAUCCACAAAUAAUUCAAAAACAAAUCCAAUUUUGAUAAACUCCCAUAUCUACUGGGUGAAAUACCACAGUGAGCCAUCACAGCAGCAAGAUUUGUGACCUGUUGCCACAAGAAAAGGGCAACCAGUGAAGAACAAACACCAUUGUAAAUACAACCCAUAUUUGUUAUGGUGCGUGAAUGAGGACCCAAAAGCGAAUUAACAAACAGAGUACUUUAAUGACGAACAUACGUGGGCUCAGAUGGACAGGUAGAUUCCGACAGGACAGGACAAGGUUGCAGCACACACGAUGAUAGUCUGGUUCAGGCAUGAGACACAUAAACAAACAAACAAGAAUCCGACAAGGACAGGAGCAGAAACAGAGACAGAUAUAGGGACCUAAUCAGAGGGAAAAAGGGAACAGGUGGGGAACGGGGUGAAUGGGUAAUUAGGAGGAGACAAGGCACAGCUGGGGAAAAGAGGGGGAGAAAAGGUAACAUAACAACGACCAGCAGAGGGAGACAGGGUGAAGGGAAAGGACAGAGACAAGACAACAUGACAGUACCCCCCCACUCACCGAGCGCCUCCUGGCGCACUCGAGGAGGAAGCCUGGCGGCAACGGAGGAAAUCAUCGAUCAGCGCACGGUCCA